ACACAAUGGAGAGUUAAUCAUAUACUCAAUAAUAUGGGUGUCACAAGUCAUAAAUAAUAUAUGAUAAAUGAUAAUUAUCCAAGUCAUAAAUAGUAAUAAUUGCAUCCUAGAGAACUCCAAUCUAAAGCACAUAGCAUCUCAUUAGGUAGAGCCGAGAGGAAUAGAUUCAUAAGUUAUUCUAACUAUAAGUUUAUGAAUACUAUGGUUAGUGCAAUUAUUCCUAGCAAUCACUAUUAAGGCCACUAUUAUAUCUAUGCAUAAGGAACAUCACUCUAUGGUGGUCU
rnacentral:lncRNA from 1 species